AUCCAGCCGACAAGUCUCAAAUAGGACGAAAUCUGCAUCCUGGAU
rnacentral:hammerhead_ribozyme from 1 species